UGGGAACUGGAAUCUCAGGAACUAGUGAA
rnacentral:piRNA from 1 species